rnacentral:rRNA from 1 species
UACGGAGAAUACAAACGUUGCUCGGAAUUAUUGGGCGUAAAGCGCACGUAGGCGGUUCGGUAAGUCGGAUGUGAAAUCCCUCGGCUCAACCGAGGAAGGGCAUCCGAAACUGCCGGGCUUGAGUACGGAAGAGGGUCUCGGAAUUCCCGGUGUAGAGGUGAAAUUCGUAGAUAUCGGGAGGAACACCAGUGGCGAAGGCGGAGACCUGGGCCGAUACUGACGCUGAGGUGCGAAAGCGUGGGGAGCAAACAGG